rnacentral:lncRNA from 1 species
CAAGACACAAUUUUGUUUUGAAAAACAACACAAGAAAGCUAGCCUGAGUUCAAGUCUGAAAUAUUCAGAAAAAUCCUACUAAUAUCUUUAGUAUGUUCCAGUCAUUUUUUUUAAACAACACACUAAAAGUUAAUAUAUAUUUUUAUAAUUAUAAAAGUUCCCCAGUUAUUGUACAGUACACAAUACAAAUUGCCCACAAACUAUCAUUUAGCUCCUGCCAAUUUGGAGAGGACAUUAUAUACUAAAAGAUUUAGCAUUUCUCACAAAAAUCACAUCAGGAAAUACGUAUUUACAAAACCCAAUACAUUAUACAAAAAAAAAGAAAGAAAACAAGAAAAUCAUCACAUGGUAUUCUCCAAUAAGUCUUAAAUAAAAUGCUUAUUCAACUGUAAUCCAAAAACUGGAAAAGAACAUUACAUUAUCACACACAUACAAUCGCUACUGAAGAAAAGUAAAAGCUGGUUACCUUACAUUUGUAAAGUAUUAUUUCCAUAUGCCAAAAAAAACUAACUAAAAUAUCUCACUGUUACUAUGCUUCUGUGUUUGUGGACUGUGUUAAUGUCCUCUGCUACUUACCAAGUGAAGAAAAAAUGGCACUUAAAAGAAAAAAAAAACUUAACAAAACAGAAGAACAUGAUAUUAUGAAGUUUCUAGGGUAAGAAAGCCCUGAGGAGUCUCGGAUGAAUGGCAUGGAAUAUUGUGUAGGUAGAUACCAUGGACAGCUAAGUACAGGCACCAACUGUUCAGGGUGUUUUCUCAUUUACUUCUACCAUGAAGGCACUCAGUGUUAUCUCUUUCUCAGGUGAAUUAAAGCAUUGGCUUCAGUGCUGGUGCCAGGCAAGAUAUCAACACAUCAAUGGUUCCUCAGCCUUCAGAGGGACCAAGAUCAGAGUAGCCAAUUUUAAGCAGAAUGCAUUUUAAUUUAAGGCAUAUGCAUUCUGAAAGACACAUCAUUCUUCAUAAAUUUAAUACAGUCAUUUUCAUGCACUAGAUGACCUGUUGUCAAUGAUCUAGAGUUGUACAAAAUGUAUUAAUUCUCUAGAUAGGUUCCCCUGAUUGCUUGUGGUAACAUCCAGGUGCCCCACAUGUGUGCGUGUGUGUGUAUGAUAGAAGCCUGAUUAAUUGGGUAGCAGUUAUAGUCAACUGAUACUUGGCUAUAAGAAAAAUAAUAAUUUCAUCUGUAUUUUUUUCUACGUAGGCAUUAAGAAAACUUGUGGGGCAUAAACUAUUAAAGUUUGUUGAGCUACACCAAGAUUUUUACGAUUUGAUGGCUGUGCCAAUAUUUGUUCUUUUUUAAAGUUUAUUUAAGAAAUCUAGAAAAACAUCAAGUAUUGCCCAUGGCAUCUUUAGGUAGCGAAGAAGCAGAAGGGCCAUUCUCUGUGCCACGCUAAUGUCUCAUCCUUGUGAACUUGAGCAUGUUAGCUCCAUGGGGACACUGGGAUGGACAAUUUAGACUUCUUUUGUCAGUAGUUUUGAACUCAGGGCUUUCAUUCCCAAGAUUUUAAACGCCAGUGUUAAAAUAAGGCAAGUUGCACAUUACAUAAAUAAACCAUUUAAGAAUCAAACAGAACAAAACUAAACCAGGCAGUCACUUUGCAAGUGGCUUUUACUACGAAAAAUAGGUAAACUAUACUCAUUUCUAUACUGGCACGUACACCCACUAGCAGCAAUGAUCAAGGCAUGCAAACUGAGAAGCAUUUACAGUAAAUCAUUGUGAAGAUCAACAUAAUAAAUCAUCAAAACUACAACCCUUUGAGUAUCGUACAGCUGCAUGAAACGAAGCAUGAAGUAAUGUAGAGAGCAGCCAUGGGGAUCUAACCAAGACCUAGUACUAUGAAGACUACAGAGUGAAACUUUUAAUGGAGUCAGUGAGGCUAAUGCAAUCUAUACAAUGCAUCCUGCAUUGUUUAUUUAAAUAAGGUCUAAAUUUCUGCAUAAACUGUAAACAGUCUGUCUUUGGAUGGCUCUGUGUUAGUCCUAUGUGUUUUGGUUACAGUCGGUGUUACUUUGAGCCGUACUCUGCUAUCCAUACUGUAUUCAAGGCUAUCUCUGUAUGAAUAUGUGAAUUUUAUUUUUUUGUUCUAAGAACAAAAAAAUAUGCACAUGUACUAUAGACAACAGUGCUCUAUUUUACAGAUAUUGAAUAAUUCCAAUGCAUACAUGAAGGGUAGUGUUACAAACAAUUUUUUUCAGUAGGUUUACAGAAGACACCAACAUAACUUUACUAACUGCCUGAAAAUGAAAUAAACUGAAAAGAUCCUAUGAAACAAGUCUGUUAUCACAGCACUUAAAAUUGUGCUAUGCAGACAAGGCUGUCCUGUGGCUAUUUUCAUUUACAACACUUAAUAGGCCUGCAUAAAGUCCAAGGAUAUGUAUAAGAAAGAAAAACCAUGAAAAAAAACACAGAAAAUUAUCCAUGUAGGCAUCAUAUUUAGUAAAUGAAAAUAAAUGUCCGAUAAUGAAAUGGGCAUAGAUAAAAUAAACAUGCUACUAGGUCAGUGGUUCUUACUCUCUACGUAGGAACAUGGAGGGCCACUGCUAUUUCUGUAUGUCCCCAGUGAUGGGAACAAUGGAAACCCUUGUGUCACUGCAAAGAGUUCAUUAAAAGUGUUUUGCAGGAUUACAUCUGUAUAUAUUUUAUUACUAUGGUACAGUGGGUCACUGAACUCAUUACCAAGAUAAUUUAGGUCUCUGUCAAGAAAAGGUUAAGAACCAUUGUACUAUUUGAACAUAUUUUGCAUGGAGAGAAAAUUAACUGUGUACCUGACACGAUUACUCAUAAAAAUAUUAAUGGCUCUAGAGAAAAACAAAAAAAUGGAUUUUGUACCAAUCUGUACUGCAUAUCUGCAUUACAAUGUGUGUGGAUAAAUGAUUGCAGUACACAGUAUACUCAGUAGUUGCAUCUUAUGCAGCCUAUGAGCCUAAAUGAAAGGCUUUGAAUGUUUGUAAAUGGGGCUAUCUAUAGUCCAACAUAUGUUUACCUGUCUACCAUCACUCUAUAGAUCAUACUAAUCCUGAAUUUUACAAUGCUCAAAGGGUUAUUCAAAGGUGUUCUAGUACUACUACACAAUUAUGUUUCUAUUCCAGUUUUUUUUUUUUGUCUUUUUAUACUUAAAAUAUUUAGUGCAGGUGUUUGGAAUCUUACUUGUCAUAUAUUUUGAAAGAAAUUGAAUGUAUUUUUGGGUGUUUUUUUUUUUUUUUUAAAUAUAUACUUAACCCUUACAGAACAGGGAGUUGCUAUUUAGCACAAAUGGCAAGUCUCUUUAGAAAUAAACAUCUAUACCUCUAUUAAAAAGAAAAACUGCAAAGUUACUUCAUGAUUGGAUUACAACAGAAGGUAAAAUUGUGUUUUCAGUGUUGCAGUUAAAUUAUGAUAUACGGUGUCAUAAAAGCAGUGCCCAACACAAUGCAUUUAUAAAACAUUUGUUAAAAAAUAUCUGUUACUGAGUUAGCUCAGCUGACUAAUAAACCAUCCGAUGGGCCUGUUUCAACCUGAGGGCUGCAUGUUUGAGUCUAGAAAGGGUUAAACCAGCCUAUCCAAUAGAAAUCUGAGAGCACUGCAAAUCAUAUUGGAGAGUAAUGCUCUAAUAAAAGAACAUAAUAUUCGUAUUUGGUGAAUGAAAAGUGUAAAACACAAAGAAAGCUGGCUGUAAAACUCUUUCGUAUAACAUGUCUCAGUGUCAACACAACCUGAUACUUAAAACUCUAUUUUUUGAUUAUGUUUUAUGUUUUGUGUGCUUUUGCACAGUAAAACGAUUAGUGGAUUACAACCGGUUUACUGUUGUUUAGGUAGAUUUUUACCUCCUCUAAGUCAGUGGUUCCCAAACCAGUCCUCAUGACCCAACAGCAGUCAGCUGUUGGUCGUAUUUCCAUUAAUUUAAUUGGAUUAAAAAAGGGGAAACACAUGAAUUCUGGACUGUUGGUGGGCCAUGAUGACUGAUUUAGGAACCACUGCUUUAGAUGGAUUUUAAGCUAUGAGACAUUUUAAAGUGUUCUUUGCAAAUUUUACUUUUAAAGGCAGACAUGAGGAGAAAACUAAAAUUAAGGUUUAGCACUAAAAAGUACUGGUGUGGGGAGAUGAGGUGCAAAGCAUAAGUAUAAAGCAGAUAACAGCAAUCCAGUGCAUAUUGGAGCAAUGUUCUCCUACAGCAAGU